CAAAAGUUACUGACAGAAAUUAAAUCACAAUUCAACUAACCUCAGGAUGGAGGAAGGACUUAAAAAUGAGAGGAAAAACAUGAAGGCUAAAAUAUUGAUAAUUUGAUUUCACAAAAUACGACUGAAAUUUUUCUAUAUGUAUAUAUACAUGUACAUAAAUGCAUAGAAAGGAGACUGAAGCAAAUUUGUUAAUAGGAAUUACUUUAUUUAAGUAAACGGGAUUGAUGUGGAAUGUUGGGUCAUGUGGUCUUUCACAGUUUACUCCAAGUAUUGCUAUGUUAAGUCAACAACAGUGUAAUGAAUUAAUGCAUUAUUUAUUAAAUCAAAACAAUUACAAACAUCAGAAAAAGAAAGCAAUUAAUUCACAGGCUUGUUGAAUGACUUUUAUGAGUCAGACUCUGAGCCAGACAUAAUUUCCACAUCGGAUCUGCACAAUGUUACCAGGUUUUUAAGUAGCUCUGGUUUCUAGAACUGUGGUUGCUUACAUUUGAU
rnacentral:lncRNA from 1 species